AUAUCUCUCCGUACGGGAAGGAUGAGAAGCUUCGACUAAGGUUCGAUUCGAGCGCAGCGAGAAAGCGUUGCCGCAGGCAACGACCCGAAGGGCGAAGCGCGCAGC
rnacentral:sRNA from 1 species